rnacentral:rRNA from 1 species
GAUGAACGCUAGCUACAGGCUUAACACAUGCAAGUCGAGGGGUAACAAGAGGAAAGCUUGCUUUCCUUGUUGACGACCGGCGCACGGGUGAGUAACGCGUAUCCAACCUGCCUAUAACUAGGGAAUAACCUUGCGAAAGUAAGACUAAUACCCUAUGAUUUCCUUUGAUGACAUCAGAUUAGGAAUAAAGAUUUAUCGGUUAUAGAUGGGGAUGCGUCUGAUUAGCUUGUUGGCGGGGUAACGGCCCACCAAGGCAACGAUCAGUAGGGGUUCUGAGAGGAAGGUCCCCCACAUUGGAACUGAGACACGGUCCAAACUCCUACGGGAGGCAGCAGUGAGGAAUAUUGGUCAAUGGGCGGAAGCCUGAACCAGCCAAGUAGCGUGCAGGAUGACGGCCCUAUGGGUUGUAAACUGCUUUUAUACAGGAAUAAAGUUAGCCACGUGUGGUUAUUUGUAGGUACUGUAUGAAUAAGGACCGGCUAAUUCCGUGCCAGCCGCCGCCGUAA